CUGUAAGCCUGUGAAGGUGGCCUGUGAGGGUUGCUGGAGGUAUCAGAAGUGCGAAUGCUGACAUAAGUAACGAUAAAGCGGGUGAAAAGCCCGCUCGCCGGAAGACCAAGGGUUCCUGUCCAACGUUAAUCGGGGCAGGGUGAGUCGACCCCUAAGGCGAGGCCGAAAGGCGUAGUCGAUGGGAAACGGGUUAAUAUUCCCGUACUUGGUGUUACUGCGAAGGGGGGACGGAGAAGGCUAUGUUGGCCGGGCGACGGUUGUCCCGGUUUAAGCGUGUAGGUGUGUGUUCCAGGUAAAUCCGGUUCACUUUAACACUGAGGCGUGAUGACGAGGCACUACGGUGCUGAAGCAACAAAUGCCCUGCUUCCAGGAAAAGCCUCUAAGCAUCAGGUAACAUCAAAUCGUACCCCAAACCGACACAGGUGGUCAGGUAGAGAAUACCAAGGCGCUUGAGAGAACUCGGGUGAAGGAACUAGGCAAAAUGGUGCCGUAACUUCGGGAGAAGGCACGCUGACAUGUAGGUGAAGUGA
rnacentral:rRNA from 1 species